UUUAAGUGGACUCACUUUUGAAAAUAAAGGGUGAGUCCACCCUUUAUCACUUUAGUUGUGUAUAUCUUGCAAUAAAUCAAAUAACUUUGGAGUUCACCCUUAAAUGCAAACAAUAUUAAACCUCUAUAAAUGACCCAAAGCAUCAAAUGCAGAAUAAAACGUUGAUGUAGCUACAACACACUCUAAGUUGAAACACAAAAGUUCAAUGAGAACUGUAGUUGUCCAUUAACUUUGGCACUUAAAUGCUUCCAUACAGCAUAAGAAAAAACAUUCACUUAACACAGCUCUUAUUCACAGUAAAUAAUAACCAAAUCCUAUACAAAAGCCUUAAUUUUCUUAGAUCACUCUUAACUUAUGGUGCGUUCCAGAGCCCAUCCAAACCAGUGGGACGUGGGACUUAUCCUACCUCCAACCAAGAAAAAGGCACUGGAAUGCCUGUCGAAGUGGAACAUCCCACCGUCGAAGUGGAACCUCCCACUAUCGAACUGGGGGGUGAUCGACCUACCCCCACUUCACCAAAUUUAAGUCGGAGGAUAAUGGCGGCGCCCGUGCAGUCACAGUUCGUGCGAGUGUUUUUAGAUGAGGGGAUGAACGCCUUCCUAGAUGAAGAAAGAUCCCAACCCCUCAUGGGACCUCUAUACCAGCAGGAUUAUGACCGGAAUGCCUACUUCCUUGAUGAAGCCUGUACGGUCAGUGUUCAAAUUGUCCUCCCAGGUAGGUCAUGGAGCAGAUCUAAAUCAUUUUCAGUUGUCACUCAUCUGUCCGUUGAUCGCGGCUCCGUGUGCCUUAACGGGCCAGCAAAACCUUAACAAGCCGCUCCUUUGAUCUUGCGCUCCUUCGUUGACCUGCCACUCGCGUCGAUGAACAGGCCGAGUUUUCACUAUAAAUCCCUCUAAAAGCAGUCGGCAGACACCAAUGGUUUCCUUUGACGGGUUUUAUUGCAUCCUUUUACUCCAACUCCACCGUGAAAACUAUAGAUGAACAUGUACAACAGAAAUCACGGCAUUAGCUUUACAUAAAAUCAUAAAUUACACGGCACACAAAGAGCCAAUCAAGC
rnacentral:lncRNA from 1 species